rnacentral:misc_RNA from 1 species
UUUCCGUAGGUGAACCUGCGGAAGGAUCAUUAACACGAACAAAAUGUUCCAAAACCUUUUUGGAUCAACGCCAACCUUUGAAAAGGCGAACCUAGUUGUAUUUUUCUCCUUUUUCUAUUUUGUUUUUCUCAAACGCAACUUCUCAUGGAAAUUGACUAGAAUCGUGUGAUUUGUUCCAAUCCUAUCACCUCUUUCUCCUCUCCUCUCCUCUCCUCGUGAGAUGAGAUGGGAUGUGAGAUGGGAGAUGGGGGGUGGGUUUGGAACUAACCAUUCCUAACGCUAAAACAACUCUUAACAACGGAUAUCUUGGCUCUC